CUGGCAAAGAUUUUAUAUAGCUUAACGACUUUACACAUGUUUGGUGCAAGUGGCGGCUGUUUGUAAAUAUUGACAUUGCGUGAGAAGUGGAAAGUCAUAAUGAGCGAGUCAGAAGGGAAGAAAGAAGAGGCAGAAACAAAGAAAAUUAUCCAUACGUAUCCAUUAGUAAGGCACUGCGAUAUGAUUGACGAGAUGAGAGGAGAAGCAAUGGAACUUUGUGUAACAGCAUGUGAGAAGCAUGCUGCGAACAACGAAGUAUUGAUGAAUCUUUUCUUUCCACUCGAGCUUUGAGUCACAGCUUAUUGUCUUCUCGACAACAAUAGUGGUGCUACCUCAGAGAACGUCUUAGUUCUGUGAACAACCAUAGCAAAAAUCUGAACUGCUGAUUUUGGCUCUCAAUGACACUAUACUGUUAAGGAGCAGGAUUCAUUUUAUUAAAGACUCAGUUUGCUGCAUUGAAUAGCUUGCAUUUUUGAAUGGGGUUACAGAACUUUUUGCCCAAAUAAUUUGUGAUUGUCUCUGUUAGUUUUCUCUUAUUUGUGAUACUUCAGAUACUUGCCUUUUAACGUCAAGAGAGUCCAUAGCAAGCAUUUUCUGCAUGCUUGUUCUUAAUUGAUUUUCAUGAAAUAGGUAUCGUCAGGGAGAGCAUUUGGGGAGAAGAGAAACAGGCCCUGCCCUAUUCUGGGAAUGCCAAGGAACAAGUGGCGUAGGCUCCACAUUGUCCAUAUAAUGAUGCCAACAAAAGAAAAACAACCUGUUUUUUACAGUCUGUACAACACUUAUCUCAUUCCAUAAUGCAGAGGAAUAUUGUUAAAAUUGUUCCUAAAAAUAUUUAUGUCAUUGUCUACGUGAUGAAGCAAGCAUCAGUGUCAUAACUACUUUCUUGCAAGGCAUGUGUUUUGCCUGGCCAUUUUAGUAUCAGUUCAUUGAUACAUCAUGUUCCAUAUAUCUGUUCACAAGAGAGAGUUUUCAUGGAUGAGGAACAAGUCAAGGUAUAUAUUAACAAGCAGAAGUAACGACUUCUGAAUACACUGUGAAGUGUGUUAAUAACAACAAAUUGUUGCUUGCACUUAUCUACACAAACUCAUGAUUCACAUAAUUACUUUGAGAUUA